CUUCGGCAAUGGACGGAAGUCUGACCGAGCAACGCCGCGUGAGUGAAGAAGGUUUUCGGAUCGUAAAGCUCUGUUGUAAGAGAAGAACGAGUGUGAGAGUGGAAAGUUCACACUGUGACGGUAUCUUACCAGAAAGGGACGGCUAACUACGUGCCAGCAGCCGCGGUAAUACGUAGGUCCCGAGCGUUGUCCGGAUUUAUUGGGCGUAAAGCGAGCGCAGGCGGUUAGAUAAGUCUGAAGUUAAAGGCUGUGGCUUAACCAUAGUACGCUUUGGAAACUGUUUAACUUGAGUGCAAGAGGGGAGAGUGGAAUUCCAUGUGUAGCGGUGAAAUGCGUAGAUAUAUGGAGGAACACCGGUGGCGAAAGCGGCUCUCUGGCUUGUAACUGACGCUGAGGCUCGAAAGCGUGGGGAGCAAACAGGAUUAGAUACCCUGGUAGUCCACGCCGUAAACGAUGAGUGCUAGGUGUUAGACCCUUUCCGGGGUUUAGUGCCGCAGCUAACGCA
rnacentral:rRNA from 1 species